rnacentral:rRNA from 1 species
UAGGGAAUCUUCGGCAAUGGGGGGAACCCUGACCGAGCAACGCCGCGUGAGUGAAGAAGGUUUUCGGAUCGUAAAGCUCUGUUGUUAAGGAAGAACGAGUGUGAGAAUGGAAAGUUCAUGCUGUGACGGUACUUAACCAGAAAGGGACGGCUAACUACGUGCCAGCAGCCGCGGUAAUACGUAGGUCCCGAGCGUUGUCCGGAUUUAUUGGGCGUAAAGCGAGCGCAGGCGGUUAGAAAAGUCUGAAGUGAAAGGCAGUGGCUCAACCAUUGUAGGCUUUGGAAACUGUUUAACUAGAGUGCAGAAGGGGAGAGUGGAAUUCCAUGUGUAGCGGUGAAAUGCGUAGAUAUAUGGAGGAACACCGGUGGCGAAAGCGGCUCUCUGGUCUGUAACUGACGCGGAGGCUCGAAAGCGUGGGGAGCGAACAGG